UACUCCGAAUGCCGGUGACGACUAUCCGGGAGGCAGACUGCGGGUGAUAAGGUCCGUAGUCGAGAGGGAAAGAGCCCAGAUCUACAGCUAAGGUCCCCAAAUCCAGUCUAAGUGUCGAAGGAUGUGGGAGCGCUCAGACAGCCAGGAGGUUGGCUUAGAAGCAGCCACCCUUUAAAGAAAGCGUAAUAGCUCACUGGUCGAGCGAGCCUGCGCCGAAAAUGUAACGGGGCUAAAGUCUGGUACCGAAGCUUAGGGUUCUACGCAAGUAGAGCGGUAGCGGAGUAUUGUCAGGUAGAUACAAGCCAUACCGUAAGGAGUGGUGUCGGACCUGAGAAGAGCAAAUGCAGGCAUGAGUAGCGAUAAACAGGAUGAGAAGUCCUGUCGCCGUAAGCCCAAGGUUUCCUGGGGAAGGAUAAUCCUCCCAUGGGUUAGUCGGUCCCUAAGCUGAGCCCGAAAGGGGUAGGUGAUGGCAAGCAGGUUAAUAUUCCUGCACCACUAUAUAUACGUUGACCUGAGCAGGGACGGAGAAGGGUAGGCUGAGCCAGCCGUUUGGUUGUGCUGGUUCAAGCGCGUAGGCGGUUCCCGUAGGACCCAAUAGGGACAAACGCGGGGGCAACGCCGAGACGUGAUGAGGAGGAGCUCCGGCUCCGUAACUCGGUGAUCCCAUGCUUCCAAGAAAAGCUGCGCAGCGAGUAUAUGUAGUGACCGUACCGCAAACCGACUCAGGUGGGCGGGGUGAAUAUCCCAAGGCGCGUGGGAGAACACUGGCUAAGGAACUCGGCAAAUUGACACCGUAACUUCGGGAGAAGGUGUGCCCCCAUUACGUGAAAGCCCUGCGGCCGUAGCGGAAGGGGGUUGCAGAGAAACGAGGGUUGCGACUGUUUACCAAAAACACAGGACUCUGCGAACUCGUAAGAGGACGUAUAGGGUCUGACGCCUCCCCGGUGCUGGAAGGUUAAGGGGAGAUGUUAGUCUUCGGGCGAAGCUUCGAACCGAAGCCCCAGUAAACGGCGGCCGUAACAAUAACGGUCCUAAGGUAGCGAAAUUCCUUGUCGGGUAAGUUCCGACCUGCACGAAUGGCGUAACGACAUCCCUACUGUCUCGGCCAGUGACCCAGCGAAAUUGUAUUGGGGGUGAAGAUACCCUCUACCCGCGGCAAGACGGAAAGACCCCGUGAACCUUUACUGCAACUUGGCAGUGAAGCUCGGGACAUUCUGCGUAGGAUAGGUGGGAGACUUUGAAACCGGGGUUCCGGCUUCGGUGGAGUCAACCUUGAAAUACCACCCUGAAUGUUCUGGGCUUCUAACCCAGCACCGUUAUCCGGUGCGGGGACACUGUCUGGUGGGCAGUUUGACUGGGGCGGUCGCCUCCCU
rnacentral:rRNA from 1 species